rnacentral:rRNA from 1 species
AAAAAAGGUAAGCUACUAAGAGCGAAUGGUGGAUGCCUUGACUGGUAAAGGCGAUGAAGGACGUACUAGACUGCGAUAAGCUACGGGGAGCUGUCAAGAAGCUUUGAUCCGUAGAUUUCCGAAUGGGGCAACCCAAUGUAUAGAGAUAUACAUUACCUAUAUAGGAGCGAACGAGGGGAAUUGAAACAUCUUAGUACCCUCAGGAAAAGAAAUCAAUAGAGAUUGCGUCAGUAGCGGCGAGCGAAAGCGCAAGAGGGCAAACCCAGUGCUUGCACUGGGGGUUGUAGGACUGCAAUGUGCAAGAGGUGAGUUUAGCAGAACAUUCUGGAAAGUAUAGCCAUAGAGGGUGAUAGUCCCGUAUGCGAAAAACAAACCUUAGCUAGCAGUAUCCUGAGUAGGGCGGGACACGAGAAAUCCUGUCUGAAGCUGGGUCGACCACGAUCCAACCCUAAAUACUAAUACCAGAUCGAUAGUGCACAAGUACCGUGAGGGAAAGGUGAAAAGAACUGAGGUGAUCAGAGUGAAAUAGAACCUGAAACCAUUUGCUUACAAUCAUUCAGAGCCCUAUGUAGCAAUACAGGGUGAUGGACUGCCUUUUGCAUAAUGAGCCUGCGAGUUGUGGUGUCUGGCAAGGUUAAGCAAACGCGAAGCCGUAGCGAAAGCGAGUCUGAAUAGGGCGCUUAGUCAGAUGCUGCAGACCCGAAACGAAGUGAUCUAUCCAUGAGCAAGUUGAAGCUAGUGUAAGAACUAGUGGAGGACUGAACCCAUAGGCGUUGAAAAGCCCCGGGAUGACUUGUGGAUAGGGGUGAAAGGCCAAUCAAACUUCGUGAUAGCUGGUUCUCUCCGAAAUAUAUUUAGGUAUAGCGUUGUGUCGUAAUAUAAGGGGGUAGAGCACUGAAUGGGCUAGGGCAUACACCAAUGUACCAAACCCUAUCAAACUCCGAAUACCUUAUAUGUAAUCACAGCAGUCAGGCGGCGAGUGAUAAAAUCCGUCGUCAAGAGGGAAACAACCCAGACUACCAGCUAAGGUCCCUAAAUCUUACUUAAGUGGAAAACGAUGUGAAGUUACUUAAACAACCAGGAGGUUGGCUUAGAAGCAGCCAUCCUUUAAAGAAAGCGUAAUAGCUCACUGGUCUAGUGAUUUUGCGCGGAAAAUAUAACGGGGCUAAAGUAAGUACCGAAGCUGUAGACUUGCGCACAACUUAGAUUAUUUAAGUUUAGAAUAUGAGAAACUAAGUUAUAUGUUUAGUUAUAUUUUUACUGAUUUUUAUAGAGUAAAGAUAGAAAUAAAACUUAGUAAAAUCAGUAAAAAUAUUCUUAGACUAAAGUUAAGUAGUUUAAGUUGUGUGCAAGUGGUAGGAGAGCGUUCUAUUUGCGUCGAAGGUAUACCGGUAAGGAGUGCUGGAGCGAAUAGAAGUGAGCAUGCAGGCAUGAGUAGCGAUAAUUAAUGUGAGAAUCAUUAACGCCGUAAACCCAAGGUUUCCUACGCGAUGCUCGUCAUCGUAGGGUUAGUCGGGUCCUAAGUCGAGUCCGAAAGGGGUAGACGAUGGCAAAUUGGUUAAUAUUCCAAUACCAACAUUAGUGUGCGAUGGAAGGACGCUUAGGGCUAAGGGGGCUAGCGGAUGGAAGUGCUAGUCUAAGGUCGUAGGAGGUUAUACAGGCAAAUCCGUAUAACAAUACUCCGAGAACUGAAAGGCUUUUUGAAGUCUUCGGAUGGAUAGAAGAACCCCUGAUGCCGUCGAGCCAAGAAAAGUUUCUAAGUUUAGCUAAUGUUGCCCGUACCGUAAACCGACACAGGUGGGUGGGAUGAGUAUUCUAAGGCGCGUGGAAGAACUCUCUUUAAGGAACUCUGCAAAAUAGCACCGUAUCUUCGGUAUAAGGUGUGGUUCGCUUCGUAUUAGGAUUUACUCCGAAAGCGAAGAAACUUACAACAAAGAGUCCCUCCCGACUGUUUACCAAAAACACAGCACUCUGCUAACUCGUAAGAGGAUGUAUAGGGUGUGACGCCUGCCCGGUGCUCGAAGGUUAAUUGAUGGGGUUAGCAUUAGCGAAGCUCUUGAUCGAAGCCCGAGUAAACGGCGGCCGUAACUAUAACGGUCCUAAGGUAGCGAAAUUCCUUGUCGGUUAAAUACCGACCUGCAUGAAUGGCGUAACGAGAUGGGAGCUGUCUCAAAGAGGGAUCCAGUGAAAUUGUAGUGGAGGUGAAAAUUCCUCCUACCCGCGGCAAGACGGAGAGACCCCGUGGACCUUUACUACAGCUUGACACUGCUAUUUGGAUAAGAAUGUGCAGGAUAGGUGGGAGGCUUUGAGUAUAUGACGCCAGUUGUAUAUGAGCCAUUGUUGAGAUACCACUCUUUCUUAUUUGGGUAGCUAACCA